AUACGUAGGGGGCAAGCGUUGUCCGGAAUUAUUGGGCGUAAAGCGCGCGCAGGCGGUCUUUUAAGUCUGGUGUCUAAGUGCGGGGCUCAACCCCGUGAUGCACUGGAAACUGGGAGACUUGAGUGCAGGAGAGGAAAGCGGAAUUCCACGGUGUAGCGGUGAAAUGCGUAGAGAUGUGGAGGAACACCAGUGGCGAAGGCGGCUUUCUGGACUGUAACUGACGCUGAGGCGCGAAAGCGUGGGGGGCAAACAGGAUUAGAUACCCUGGUAGUCCACGCCGUAAACGAUGAGUGCUAGGUGUUGGGGGGAUCGCCCCCUCGGUGCCGAAGUCAACACAUUAAGCACUCCGCCUGGGGAGUACGGUCGCAAGACUGAA
rnacentral:rRNA from 1 species